rnacentral:rRNA from 1 species
GACGAACGCUGGCGGCGUGCCUAAUACAUGCAAGUUGAGCGAUGAAGAUUGGUGCUUGAACCAAUUUGAAGAGCAGCGAACGGGUGAGUAACGCGUGGGGAAUCUGCCUUUGAGCGGGGGACAACAUUUGGAAACGAAUGCUAAUACCGCAUAACAACUUUAAACAUAAGUUUUAAGUUUGAAAGAUGCAAUUGCAUCACUCAAAGAUGAUCCCGCGUUGUAUUAGCUAGUUGGUGAGGUAAAGGCUCACCAAGGCGAUGAUACAUAGCCGACCUGAGAGGGUGAUCGGCCACAUUGGGACUGAGACACGGCCCAAACUCCUACGGGAGGCAGCAGUAGGGAAUCUUCGGCAAUGGACGAAAGUCUGACCGAGCAACGCCGCGUGAGUGAAGAAGGUUUUCGGAUCGUAAAACUCUGUUGGUAGAGAAGAACGUUGGUGAGAGUGGAAAGCUCAUCAAGUGACGGUAACUACCCAGAAAGGGACGGCCAACUACGUG